GAUCCUUCCUCAACCUCCGAUCAAUCAUGAAGCGACUUUCUUUUUUCCUAUUCAAUCACAACCUCUUGUAAUCCUUUCCAAAUGUAUGUUUCGAAUCACAAUAUUAGCCUUUCAAGACAAACGUAUACGAGCAUAAUCAAACUUAGAGCCAACCCAAAAUCACCGCCGCUACGUUGCCGAGGAGUUGUUGUUCUGUCGCUGGCUCCAAAUUAGGUCGCGUCAUCGUUGAUUCUGUAGUCAUCGACCACCGUGGGAAACGCAGCAGUGUCGGAGAAGACGCCGGUUUCUGAUUCCCGCCGACCAGCGAUUGACUUGUUUGAACCAGCCCCAUCACACAACCGUUUUUGUUCUUGUCCGAUUGCAGCAAGCUGCCACCCAUUGCUCUCGUAUCCAUCUCGCUUGGCGACUAAGGGUUUCGUGACAUUUGAUUCAAGCUUAGGAUUUACUACAGUCAUUGCUAAUUGCUUAAGGUACUCAGGGAAAUCGGGGAAAUGUGUGAAGAGUGAUAAUAAAAAAAGCUAGAGUUGGAACAAGGAGUUCAAUAAAACUUUAUAUUCAAUAAAUUUAGACACUUAUGUUUUUCUGUUGAGACCGUUAUGCCAUUUUGGGGAUUUUUGUUUUUAAACCUAUGGAAUUUAUGUUUUAA